rnacentral:misc_RNA from 1 species
AGGUGAACCUGCGGAAGGAUCAUUCAUAAUAAGUGUUUUAUGGCACUUUUUAAAUCCAUAUCCACCUUGUGUGCAAUGUCAGCCGAUCUUCUUCAUGGAGAUCGGCCAAACAUCAACCUUAUUUUUUAACUCUUUGUCUGAAAAAUAUUAUGAAUAAACAAUUCAAAAUACAACUUUCAACAACGGAUCUCUUGGCUCUCG